GAUCCUGGCUCAGGACGAACGCUGGCGGCGUGCUUAACACAUGCAAGUCGAACGGUGACGGAGAGCUUGCUCUCCUGAUCAGUGGCGAACGGGUGAGUAACACGUGGGCAACCUGCCCCAGACUUCGGGAUAACGCUUCGAAAGAGGUGCUAAUACCGAAUACGAACGCCGUGGGCAUCCACGGUGUUGGAAAGUUUUUCGGUCUGGGAUGGGCCCGCGGCCUAUCAGCUUGUUGGUGAGGUAAUGGCUCACCAAGGCGACGACGGGUAGCCGGCCUGAGAGGGCGACCGGCCACACUGGGACUGAGACACGGCCCAGACUCCUACGGGAGGCAGCAGUGGGGAAUAUUGCACAAUGGGCGAAAGCCUGAUGCAGCGACGCCGCGUGAGGGAUGACGGCCUUCGGGUUGUAAACCUCUUUCAGUAGGGAAGAAGCGAAAGUGACGGUACCUGCAGAAGAAGCACCGGCUAACUACGUGCCAGCAGCCGCGGUAAUACGUAGGGUGCGAGCGUUAUCCGGAAUUAUUGGGCGUAAAGAGCUCGUAGGCGGUUUGUCGCGUCUGCUGUGAAAAUCCGGGGCUCAACCCCGGACUUGCAGUGGGUACGGGCAGACUAGAGUGUGGUAGGGGAGACUGGAAUUCCUGGUGUAGCGGUGAAAUGCGCAGAUAUCAGGAGGAACACCGAUGGCGAAGGCAGGUCUCUGGGCAUUAACUGACGCUGAGGAGCGAAAGCGUGGGGAGCGAACAGGAUUAGAUACCCUGGUAGUCCAUGCCGUAAACGUUGGGCACUAGGUGUGGGGAGAACUCAACUCUCUCCGCGCCGUAGCUAACGCAUUAAGUGCCCCGCCUGGGGAGUACGGCCGCAAGGCUAAAACUCAAAGGAAUUGACGGGGGCC
rnacentral:rRNA from 1 species